ACCCUCGCCGGAUGUACAGGAAGUGCAAAAUGCCACCACAUCAGGUGUACGAGCUGUUGGUGGCGGCUUAGACACUUACAGUGCCCAGGUGCUAAUUGGGGAGAUAAUGUCCUGCAGGGCACAAAUAGAGGACACAAACAUCGCCCUGGAGAAGAUCAUAA